UUUUUAUUUUAAGGGUAUAUGGUGGAUGCCUUGGGACCAAAAGCGAUGAAGGACGUGGCGUAGCUGCGAUAAGCCUCGGGGAGGUGUUAGCAACCUUUGAUCCGGGGAUUUCCGAAUGGGGAAACCCACUCUCCCAAAAUGAGAGUAUCAAGCUUGUCUUGAAGCAAACCCGCUGAAGUGAAACAUCUCAGUAGGCGGAGGAAAAAGAAAACAAUGGAAUGCAUAAUUCCGCAUUCCCCAAGUAGCGGCGAGCGAACGGGGAGAAGCCCAAACCCAUCAGUGUUUACACUAAUGGGGGUUGUAAGAAGAUAGCGUCUAUUAAGUUAGAGAAAGUCAACAAGUUAAUUUAAUUAGCUGAAUCUCUCUGGAAAGAGGAACCAUAGACGGUGAUAGUCCAGUAAGCGAAAAUUAAAUUACACUUUUUGCUAUCUUUCUUGAGUACCAGCGAAUCACGAAAAGUCGUUGGGAAUCCGGCGGGACUACCCGCCAAGGCUAAAUAUAAUUUGGUCACCGAUAGUGAACCAGUACCGUGAGGGAAAGGUGAAAAGCAGCCCGGUGAGGGCGGUGAAAUAGAACCUGAAACCAUACUACCCACAAAGAGUCAGAGCUGAGCAAUUUUUAUUGCUUGGUGAUGGCGUGCUUUUUGCAGAACGAGCCAACGAGUUUUUUUAAUCAAUUUGUCUAAGCGCUUCUGGCGCGGAGGCACAGGGAAACCGAGUCUUAAAAGGGCGAAUAAAAAUUGGUUGAAAAAGACCCGAAGCCAGACGAGCUUGCCAUGAGCAGGAUGAAGCUUUCAGAAAUGAAAGUGGAGGUCCGAACCCGUAUGUCGUUCAAUUCAUUGGGAUGACUUGUGGUAAGGAGUGAAAAGCUAAUCGAGUUUGGUAAUAGCUGGUUCUUCCCGAAAUAGUUCUAGGACUAGCCUUGUUUCAACACAUCUUGGAGGUAGAGCGCACUGGAAGAGGUACCGUGGCUUCGGCUAGGUAUCUUUACCAAACUCCGAAUGCCAAGAUGCUGGAAACAGGAGUCAGACUGCGGAAGCGAAGUCCCGUAGUCGCGAGGGGAACAACCCAGACCAUCAUCUAAGGUCCCUAAAUCUGGACUAAGUGUUAGUAAGGAGGUGAAAUUUCAUAGAUAGCUAGGAGGUUAGCUUAGAAGCAGCUAUCCUUUAAAAAGUGCGUAACAGCUUACUAGCUAAGAAGUUUUGCGCCGAAGAUUUCCGGGACUCAAGUUCAGUACCGAAGAUAUGGCUUCACGCAAUUUAUUGUGUGAGGGGUAGGGAAGCGUUCUUAUUGCACUGAAGCGGAAUUGUAAAAUUCCGUGGAGCGAUAAGAAGUGAGAAUGUUGGCAUGAGUAACCACAAUUAUGGUGAGAUUCCAUAACGUCGUAAACCCAAGGUUUCCUUAGCAAUGAAGAUCAUCUAAGGGUUAGGCGGUCCUUAGGAAAAGCCGAAAGGUUUAUCUGAUGGACAGCCGGUUAAUAUUCCGGCCCUUUAAUAUCUUUCCGAAGGGUGACGCAACUUAGUAGUUUGGGCAGAUUAUUGGAUUUCUGUAGGGUAUUUAAGGAGCAAUCCAAGAAUACACUUGAAGUCCGGUUCGCGCCGGGCAAAAUCAAAUGAGCAAGUUGACCAGAAAAACCCGUAGGGUUAAAGGUAUUAAAUCCGUACCGUAAACCGACACAGGUGGGUGGGCACAAGUGUGCCAAGACGAACAAGUGAAAGAUCCUAAAGGAACUCGGCAAAAAAGUGAUCGUAACUUAGGAAUAAGAUCUGCCUUCUUUUAGCAAUAAAAGAAGGCCGCAGCGAACGUCUCUCUAGCGACUGUUUAUCAAAAACACAGGUCCCUGCUUAAUUCGUAAGAGGAAGUAUAGGGGCUGAGGCCUGACCAGUGCCAGAGUGUUAAAAGUGACGGUUGCUUCGCUCUUGUUUCAGAAGCGAUACUGAGUUUCUUUAAUAUUUAAUUCGUUUAUAUGUUUAUAUUUUGAUUAGAUAAAUAACUUUAGAAAAUUUUAAGAUUCGUGGUCUUAUUAUAGAAAUAGGUAAGACAUUGCGAUUAGUAAAAGGAACUCAGAGUUGUUUGUGGUACAGGAGCGGAGCAGCUGAUUGCUCAAAGCCUCUGGUGAACGUCCGCGGUAACUCUGACCGUGUUAAAGUAGCGUAAUCCCUUGUCGGGUAAGUUCCGACCCGCAUGAAAGGUUUAACGACUGGAGAACUGUCUCUAGGAUCUGCUUGGUGAAAUCGCAAUAGGGGUGAGAAUGCCCCUUACCUGUGGCUAGACAGGAAGACCCCGGGAGCUUUACUAUACCCUGGCAUUGAAUUUUGAUGUCAGAUGCGUAGCAUAGGUGGGAGACUUUGAAGUUAUGGUUCCGGCCAUAAUGGAGUCGCCAGUGAAAUACCACUCUUUUGAUGUCAGGGUUCUAACUUCAUUAUUUUAGUAGAAUAAUGGAAGACAGUGCUUGGUUGGUAGUUUAAGUGGGGCGCUUUUCUCCUAAAAAGUAACGGAGAAGUUUAAAGGUCGGCUAAAUCCGGAUGGAAAUCGGAUUGGUCCUGUAAAGGGAAAAGCUGGCUUAACUGCAAGACGGAUAUGUCGCGCAGAUGCGAAAGCAGAACUUAGUGAACCGACCAUGGUUCGUAGGACCGUGGGAGAUCAUCAGCCAAAAGCUACCCCGGGGAUAACAGGCUAGUAGUGCCCGAGAGUCCACAUCAACGGCACUGUUCGGCACCUCGAUGUCGGCUCAUCACAUCCUGGGACUGUAGAAGGCCCCAAGGGUUUGGCUGUUCGCCAAUUAAAGUGGUUCGCGAGCUGGGUUCAGACCGUCGUAAGACAGGUUGGUCCAUAUCUACCACAGGCGUUGAGUCUUGAGGAGAGUUGUCCUUUGUACGAGAGGAUCAGGAUGAACUAACCUCUGGUGUAUCAGUUGUCGCGCCAGCGGCAUUGCUGAGUAGCUAAGUUAGGCAGGGAUAAGAGCUGAAAGCAUCUAAGCUCGAAGCCCACUCCAAGAUUAGGACUCUUACCCAGGUUAAAGACUAUGACCUUGAUAGGAGGCAGGUGUAAGUUCCGUGAGGAAUUGAGCCGAGCCUUACUAAUUGGGUAUCACAUACUUUUGA
rnacentral:rRNA from 1 species